CAAUAAAUGAGUCCUACUCCUACACCUACUCUUAUCACUUGUAAUCCAAAAAAGCUCCAUUUCUUUCUUGCACGCUAAUUCACUAUUAAAUAGAAAUGUAUAUGCAAAACAGCGAGAAAUUUGUAGAUACGUUGAAUGUUGUUGCUUUCACAUUUGCAACUCUUAGUAGUUGUUCAAAACAACAAUGUCGAGCAAAGAUGUUUGCGAUGUUUGAAUGAUUCUUGGAUUGUAUUUGGAUUCCAUCGGUACUAUGGCCUGUUGAUUCGGCACCUUUGUCAUUUUAGCAACUUUUGUUUUCUUUUCUGUGUCGAUGUAGUUCUCUAUACCAUAUUCAUGUUCAUAUUCAUGUUCAUAUUCAUGUUCAUAUCAAUGUCCAUAUCAAGGUCCAUAUCAAUGUCCAUAUCAAUUUCCCAUGUUCCAUUACAUAUCCCGUGUUCUUUCCUUCUUCCAGCUUUUACAUGCUAGCCCUUUUAUACAAUGAUUCCUCUCAUCUCGACUCGCUUGAUGAAUGGGCGUUUAGUUUUUGCAACAACAUAUGCGUUGGGUUAUCUCAUAUCGGGGAA
rnacentral:sRNA from 1 species